rfam:Erinaceus europaeus unplaced genomic scaffold scaffold00554, whole genome shotgun sequence
GUGCACAUUUCAUUGACCUGCUUUCUUCUGUAUGCGUGAGCAGCAUUAUUUCAUAUGUGCUAUAAAAUAAAUGAAGGUUAAUUAGCAGUAUAGCAAAACAGUCAUGCUGACAGUCUCCUUCAGAAAAGA